UACUACUGUGCUUUAACAAUUAUGGUUUGCAAUGCUUAUGAUGACAUGAUCCGUUUUUAGUAACCGUAACAUCAGGGAUGUUACACAACGCCCUCGACCUAUUCUCAAACUUUAAAUAGGUAGGACGGCACGGCUGCUCCGGUGAGCCGUGCCAUGGAAUCGGGAGCUCCAAGUGGGCCAUUUUUGGUAAGCAGAACUGGCGAUGCGGGAUGAACCGGAAGCCGGGUUACGGUGCCAAACUGCGCGCUAACCUAGAACCCACAAAGGGUGUUGGUCGAUUAAGACAGCAGGACGGUGGUCAUGGAAGUCGAAAUCCGCUAAGGAGUGUGUAACAACUCACCUGCCGAAUCAACUAGCCCCGAAAAUGGAUGGCGCUGAAGCGCGCGACCCACACCCGGCCAUCUGGGCGAGCGCCAUGCCCCGAUGAGUAGGAGGGCGCGGCGGCCGCUGCAAAACCCGGGGCGCGAGCCUGGGCGGAGCGGCCGUCGGUG
rnacentral:rRNA from 1 species